UCCUCUUCUCAUUUGAUCUAGUAAUCUUCCGCCUCCAUCAGGAAAAAACCUAACCUAACCACAACCAUUGAGUACCUUCUCAAUCUCACUCUCUCAGUGAAAAAACUUAUUGAUGUCGCAGAUCAAUAGAUCUCUCUGUACAAAAACUUUAAAUAAUGUUUUUGAAUCUCAAAGCAGAUGUUGAUUUUUUAGGUAUAGGGUUUCAGAUUUCUUAUUUUCCCCAUCAAAUCUCUUCAGGUCAAUCUUCAUCACCAUGAACCGGAGAAAUAAACAUGAACCCAACCCUCAAAAGUUCAUCUAAAACCUAAACACCACCACCACAUCAUCUCAACCUUCAUCGCCUCGAGAACCCACCACAUUCUUCUUCUUCUCCCUUCAUCUUCUUCUUCUUCACAGUCAGAAGUUGUGAUUCACCAGCAACGAGAUAGAAGUUGUAACAUGAAAAAAGUGAAAUCGAGAAGCUCCAUUUCAGAUUGAUUGAAUAUAAGAUGGCAUGGGUUCAACUCAUCCGUGUGGGAUUGAAGAUAAAAUGGGUUUGAUUAUUCCGGUGAAGGUGACAGAUGGUGCUGUGGAAACUCUAAAGAACUAGGGUUUGAAUUAAAAAAUUAUGAUGGUCCUGGUGGUGUUCGAGUCUGCAAUGGUGUAUGCUAUGAAACUUGUAUGGACUGAAUCAAAGGUUGUAGUUGUUACUGAUGGCUGAGCAGAUACAAGUAGUUCAAGUUGGUGUUAGUGGUACUGCAAUGUCUUCGUCUGUUUCUUCUGUGUUUGUGAAGUCCACUGCUACUGAAAACCUUCAUUUGAUGAGGAUGUAGUUAAAGAAUGUCAUGUUUACAUGUCUCUGUGAAUGUGUUUGCUUAAAUUCUCUUCUAUGCAGGAGCAAGAAUGCUUAACUUUAUGUGGUAAUCAAGUAUGGUAGAUCGAUAUUCUCUUGGUGAAAUGUAACAUUUAAAUAGUCUAGCUUUAGUUUUUGUUUAAAAGAGUCACGAAUUAACAGCAUAAAGCCUUGCUUGCAUUUUCCAUUAGUCAACUAUGGUAAGAUUCUUUCGUUCUGUAACUAUUCUUUUUUAUCAAUUAGCAAGGGUAUAUAUUUCCUUCAUUCUCAGGGUGUAUAGGCUUGGUUAUUGUUUUAGUCCACCACAUAAUAAUCUACUAAAGUUUCCUAGUGUAUUGAGUCACUAGAUUAAGAUUUUGCUUGUUCUCUUGUCUCUUUUUGUAUCUCUACUCUAUUUAGUUUAAGUUGAGUUAUAGUUGAAUUCAAUUGACCUCUUUAGGUUUCUUUCAAAUUUGUAAUGAUGGAAGGAACAGAGAUGGGUGGACCUGAACUCGUAACUGUGAUGUUGGUUGUUACUGCAGGGAAAGAGAGAUGGUGAUUGUUUCUGCGGUUGAACCAAGAAACUGAAUAAGACAUGGUGAUGUUUCUUUGUGUGUUAUUUUGCUCACAAUGGUAGCAUGUUAUUUUCAUUAGUGUCUGAGAGCCGUUUUGUUUCAUACGUGCUCCUUACUUGGGCAGCUUUGAGGGUUUUUAGUGCACAGAAAGUCUGGAUUUGGCCACUUCAGCCAUUUGGAUUCGAAGUUUAACUGAUUUCUAAUGCUCAGCAAAUCUAUUGGAUUUUACCUUAUUUCACCUGUUUGCUUACUCACAUGUUAGUCUCAUUAUAUACUUCUCGGAAUAUGGAUACUUGAUGUCAGCAAAUGCUACUUUUGGCUGUACUUUACUCUAGUGUAUCCUCUUGCAUAUCGUGUGUAUCUUGUGAUAGAUUCAGAGAAUCUGAAAUUUGUAUGUGCAUUGCUAUUAAUACUUAAUUUGGUUUGAUCUUUUAUUGAUAAGAUAUUCAGGAUAGGGUGCAGACAAAUAGUUUGUGAAAUCCGCAGCCUAUGCUUCUUCAAUAGGGAUUUUGUAGUAGAACUUUUAGCUUUAGUAGGUCAGUUGGGACAAUAGACAUUAUAGUACAAAGUUUGAACUGAUACAAUCUAAAGUGAUAUGAUCAACAAUGAAACUCAUGAUAAGUCUUUUCCGAAGAUUUUCGGUAGUAUAUGGAGAAAUUGUUUAUCUUUUUUUUUCGAUGGCUCUAUAAAUAAGGUAUGUGUUCUCCUCUCAGUCGAUGGAUGAGUUCGUUCAUACCAUAGAAGGAUUCCCUCGCUUGCAAGAUUUUUUAAGUUGUAGAAGCUUCACUGCAGAGUCUGGGUUCUCGUCCUCUGAGAGCGCCUCCAACAAGUAAGGAAGUGGUCGCAAACCUUCCAACAAUCACUGUGACAGAGGAAACCUUAACAAGGUUGGGCUUUGGUACAGAAUGUGUUGUUUGCAGCAAGAACUUGGUUAUAAAUGACGAAAUGCAGGAAUUGCCUUGCAAGCACUUGUUUCACCCUCUCUGUUUGAUGCCAUGGCUGGAAAAACAUAAAUCGUGCCCAGUUUGCAGACAUGAACUUUCUACAGAUAAUCAAGCGUAUGAGAGCUGGAAAGAGAGUGACAAAGAGGCUGAAAAGCGUGAAAGGAUGCCGCAAAUUCUGUAUGUUGAGACUCAACUUUAGAUAAUAAACAAACUUGGGUCUUUGUAUAGCAGUUUACCGAAUUUUCAAAAGCAAUUAUAAUAGAUGUAGCAGAACCAAGAAUGGUGUUACUAUCAGAAUUUACUCUUGUUUAUAUAAAAUCUUAAGAUUCAAUAACUAUUGAGAUCUUAGACUGGUUCAAGUGUUUGAAUGCUGUCACAUUUUGAUGGUUUACAUUUGAAUGAAUGCUGGUACUUUUUGAA